rnacentral:rRNA from 1 species
GCAUAUCAAUAAGCGGAGGAAAAGAAACUAACAAGGAUUCCCUUAGUAACGGCGAGUGAAGCGGGAAGAGCUCAAAUUUUAAAUCUCCGAGGUUUUCCUUGGCGAGUUGUAAUUUGAAGAGAGUGUUUUGACGUUCGGGUUCAAUCCAAAUCCUUUGGGAUAAGGUAUCAUAGAGGGUGAGAAUCCCGUUUAUGAUUGAAUCUCGAGUGUCGCUUAAUUCACUUUCCAAGAGUCGAGUUGUUUGGGAUUGCAGCUCAAAACGGGUGGUAAAUUUCACCUAAGGCUAAAUAUGUGCAAGAGACCGAUAGCGAACAAGUACCGUGAGGGAAAGAUGAAAAGAACUUUGAAAAGAGAGUUAAAUAGUACGUGAAAUUGUUGAAAGGGAAACGAUUGAAGUCAGUCAUGCUAGUGAGGAAUCAACCUGAUGGUGCUUGGGUUCUCCCUCGUACUUUCCGGUGCACUUUCUCACCCGGCAGGUUAGCAUCAAUUUCGGUUAUCAUAAAAAAUUUGAGAGAAUGUGGCUUUCCUUCGGGAAAGUGUUAUAGAUCUCGAUCUAUGUGGUGACCGGGAUUGAGGAUUGCAGCGGAUACCCUCGUGGCUCGUCACCUGGCUUCUGACGGUUACCCCGCUUUCGAUAGCUCGCUAACGUUAGUGGGACUCGAUUGUCUAGAUGUCAGAGUGAUUGAUUUUCGCUAAGGAUGCUGACGUAAUGGCUUUAAACGAC